GUUUGCCCCGGUCACGAUAAUAGUUUUGCCUCGCAGCAUAUCGACACCUUCAUCAAAAUUUUUAGAAUGGGGAAUAGCUUGACUGUUGAUCCUUCUAGGGCCAUCAACAACGUCCAGUUCAUGAGCAGGGCACAUGAGCGGCGAUUGUACCAAGUUCCUGGGCACCCUCGAUGUGAAACAUCUGAUCAUCAAAGAAGAUGUGAGGCUUGAUCUUCUGUAAGAGAGGCCCCUUAGGAGCCCCAGCCAAAAAGAGGGCCUCAUCUACCUCCAACCCCCAGCUCCGUAGGGUCUUCAGAACACGGGCCCCAGCGCUGGCAGCACUUCGAGCUGUAACGAGGGUUGAAGAGUGCUGGUCUGGCAUCGGUGUUUUUCAGUUUGUGUUCUGACAAACAUAAUCAUAUAGACAACUGGGAGCUGAUUCUAGAUCCAGAGGGGACGCUUGACAGAUAUGAGCCCAGUACUGAUGAGGAUCAACAGUGACCCUGUUAGCACUCCAUCCUCUGUUGUCUUUUAUAUCCACUGGAGAUUGUAGGCCUAGUGUUGAAUGGUUUAUAGAACUGGUGAAAUGCAGCUGUACAAAAUCAACCUUUAGAAGGCCUGAAUCUAGUAAGCUAGUUUUGGAGUAAAAGCUAGUUCUUAACAUUGUGAAAUUAUGUUGUUACAUGUGGAAUUUUGGAAUAUCUGCACCUAAAAAUAAUAAAUACGGACUGGGGUUUUGACUUUC